GUAAAGGUAAUGAGAAAGAGGAGUACAUUCAGGAAACUUACAGAGAGAGCAGCUCAGCGGCUGGAAGGCAGCUCAAGGGAAAUGGAUGGAAGGUAGCUUUUGAACCGGGAGGCUGAAGGAGGAAACUUUGGUAGGCUUUCACGCAUCGUCAGCGUUAAAGGACUUUUGAGUGAUAAAUAAAGGUGGUACCGCGAUGAAUAAUCGCCCUUUGU
rnacentral:ncRNA from 1 species